CUGGAAUAAGAAUGCGACCGCCAAAGGGUUCAGCCUUGGGCAUUUCCAGGCCUCUCUUCUUCCUGUGUCUUCGGUCAGGACACCCCAAUCAGGGCACUUCCUCCACUUGUGUCUCUCGGGUAGACUGUCCUCCCGAACCUUCUGUAUCUCUCUAAAUCUCACACACCCUCCAGGCUCAGCUCAAGAUCCCUGCCUGAAGCUUUCUCCCAGUCUUCUAACUCAUUGACCCUCCCACUGGAACAACACUGAGACUUUCCAAGAGGGUGAGAAUGGUUUUCUAAAGCCAUCAAUCUUCACGUGUGUACUUUCUUCAAGAUGAUGUGCCUGUGAACGUGUCCCUGUCACGCUGCUUCUCAGAACUACUGCCCCCUUCAUACCCACCUUUAUAAGAGAAAGGCCAGCCUUCACCCUUCUAGAAUUCUAACCAUGUUGCCUGGAUUCAGGAUGAAAAAGGUGCUCUGGGGCAUCGAGCAAGUAGAUUUUUCAAAAAUAUAAAGAAAGAGGCAACUCUCUAAUGACCAUUAAGGAACACUGGGAAGUUGAUGGACACCCUUUCUGCCAUAUGUAUCAUCUAGAAGCUGACAAGAGAAGUCUUCUCAUGAAUCUGAGAAGAAAGCCCCAUUCUAACGUCCGAAGCUCUGUGGACAAAGGCCUGCUUGAAGAUCAUUGCCAAUUGUUACCCAGUAAUUGUGGUUUCUCCCUUUAUUUCUCAAGUCUUCACGAUCGUCUGAUGGUAUUUGAUUAUGAAUCAUGAGUCUGCUUGUUUUAAUCCCACCCGGCCUUUGCAAUCCAACUCAAAUUAGUGGUCUUGGAAAAUGAGAGGCAUUUAGCUGGGGAGAACGAAGAGCUGCUUUUGGGAGGUCAGAUUCCAACUAGUCCUCAAAUGCAAGGUUCCCCAACCUCUCAAUGCUGUUUGCAGUCAGUUGUGAAAGGAUGGCUUUGGGAUUGGCCUUGGGGGCAGUGAGAGCCAGACCAAUCCUUCCUGAGAAGGCUGCUCAGCCAGCCUUGGGAAGAGGACAGCCCCCAGACUUGUGGGCUGAAAGACCAUUUACUACCGGCGAGAUCUGGGUUCAAUCAACCUAUUUGGGCCUCUGAUUCCUCAUCUGAAAAAUAAUGUGUUUUGAAAAUUAAAUUAAAUAGUAUCUGAUAUAUCCAGUGCACAUGAGAAAUGUCCACUGGGAUCGCUAGCCAGAUGAUGACUCUACCAGGCCCAUUGAAAUGGACUUUCUGAAUCUCCCCUGAGAAUGCAAAAAUGAUGCUUUUAAUUUGGUCCUUAAGGCAUUAGGAUAAAUGACCUUCUAGUUUCACUUAAACAUCUCUGGCAAAUAAAGGACAAUCUAUGAAUGAGAGGUUUCAACUACGUCAUUAUCCCAAAGUGUAGUGUGCUAGUGGUUCAUGAAAAAUUUUCAGUGGUGCAGUUUAUUCGCUGAAUUUGACGACAUCCUUUGGUUUUCAUUGGAUUUAUCUUGAUAGUUACCUUCUGGUACGUAAUGCACAUGAAGUAUUUAGCUUGGCACAGAGUAGGUGCUCAACAAGUGGAGGCUAGUGCUAUUAGUGCUCUUUUCUCUAAUUGACACUGCUCCUCAUAGCGGGGUUGCCAUAUCAAAAACACUGCUGUUGUGCAUUGGGGACUGAGGAACCAAUUCCACCAGGUUGUGGGAGGGAGGGAAGAAUGCAGGCAACAAUGCACUCAAUCCAUACUUGUUCCCCCUAAUUUUCCAAGAUUUGACAAAAAGAAAACCAAUCACCUUCUCAUGAAAAGGUAAAUGUGGUGAAUUGUUAUGUCCGGAUUUCACAACAGGAGGCCCGCGGUGGCGACAGAUCUCCCAGACGAUAGCUGAGGCGAGCUGGCGGGGUUCUCCGCCCUUCGCUCUCUUCGGGGGAUCCAUGAGGUCUCAAAGGUCCAUUUCUGGGUCCUCACAGCUUACCUGCGCGUCCCAAACUGCUCAGUCCUCUGCAUUGUGUUUUCUUGUACUGUGUCACAUUAAUACAGUUAUUGGUUUCCUUCACAUCAUCACCAAAUUCACAGCCUCCUGUUGGAUGAUGUAGUCACUGUGUACUAUACAUUUUUAGCACAGAGUGAUGCCGUUUUCUUUGAUUUCUUGGACCCAGCAAAAGAUGGCUCAGUCAGAAAGAAUUUUCACCUUGCACAUCAUUGGACUAUGCUUCCGGCCUUUCCCCAACAGAAGAGAACAAUAGUGUCUUGGUUCCUAAACACUGACAUUUACUUGCAUCAUUCACUAUAAAACGAGGCUGGGCCCUGUGAAAUGGGUGGGCUGAUGUAACAGUCGUAGGACUAGCUUCUUCGCUGUGAGCCUACGCAGUGCUUGGUAAUCAGAGGAAGGGAGUUUGACUAAAAUAACUAGUCCAUCAAACUUUAAUUCUGAUUAUUUUUCUCUGUUGGUAAAUUCUGAGAUCCAGAAACCCCUGUGUAUGUACUUUCUUUUUUGAGAAAGCUAAGAGCUUGCAUUUAUGUAAAAAAGAGUGGACGAUCUCUCUCCUCUCCAUUUAUAUUUACAUUUCAAAACUUAUCUUCUGAUAUACAAAAACAUAUCUGGGGGAUUAAGGUGAAGACUCUUUAUUAUAUGGUAGCAAGAUCUUCUAGGAUGACUGAGCUUUCUUUAGUCUUUCUCAAUGUGGGAUCACCAACCUUUUUCAAAGGAGAGUCUACUUUUCUUAAGAUGUCAAUGGAGUAGAGAGAGCUCUGCAGGAAAUGAGGGAAUUGGGAGGGCUGGAGAUGUAUUAGUGAUUCUGGCUGCUGGGCAGAUGCAGUUGCUGUACCGUGCUGGCCCAUGGAGGAGUCUGAUUCCAAAACUUUAACCUUUUGGUCCAACUGUGGCCCAGCUGCAGAAGAAUGAGGACCAAAAUUUUCUAUGUGACAAAUUCUCUUUCUCUCAAGACCAUAUGAUUUUCAUUUUGUCUCCAAUAGAUCUGAUGAAAAAGAAUCCCUUAAAUAUCUUGACUGAAACUAUACUUCUUGUAAUGGAAAUGCUCCCUGGGUUGGCUCCUUGGAUCUUGAUCGUGGAGUCUUCAGUGGGCUCUCAGGAACUCCCAACACCCUCUUAUCUGCUUCCUUCACAGCUGCCUCUGUCUGACCCCAGACUGGGGGUAACUCUUGGACAGCGAACUCAGCUCUGGGGGCAAGGUCAGAUGCCAAUCUAGAACCCUUGACCCCAGAAAUCUCUGCCAUUUUUUUCUCUGGUUGUUUCUGAGUUUCUGCAGAGCUGAAAGGCUGCCAUUCAGAAUGACCAUGGGGACUAUAUCAGUCUCCUACACAAGCAUGUUAUGAAGCAAUGAAGGGCAUUGGAGUCUGCUCUUGGCUGAAGCUGAGGCAGUGGGAAAAGUCAGUACAUGGCCUCUGUCAUCUAAAGCUUGAGUUUGGUGUCACCUGUACCUGGGAGAGAAGAAAAGGAUCAGUGGAAGAGAGCAUCCCUAAUGUUUUACCUCUUGAGGAGGCCUCUGCAGUACUAACAACAUCAAGUGGACUUGUCAUCACAGGGAUUUAGAAUGGCAGAUGGCAGUCUGUGUGUGUGUGUGUGUGUGUGUGUGUGU
ensembl:lncRNA